GUGCUCGCUUUGGCAGCACAUAUACUAAAAUUGGAAUGACACAAAGAAGACUAGCAUGGCACCUGCGCAAGGACGACUCUGUUAAAAAAAAAAAAAAAAUCUUAACCUUCUGA
rnacentral:snRNA from 1 species